rnacentral:rRNA from 1 species
UACGUAGGCAGCGAGCGUUGUUCGGAGUUACUGGGCGUAAAGCGUGCGUAGGCGGUGUCUUAAGUUUGUUGUGAAAUCUCCCGGCUUAACCGGGAGGGUGCGGCGAAUACUGAGAUGCUGGAGUGCCGGAGAGGUAAGCGGAAUUCCUGGUGUAGUGGUGAAAUACGUAGAUAUCAGGAGGAAUACCGGAGGCGAAGGCGGCUUACUAGCCAGACACUGACACUCAGACCCGAAAGUGUGGGGAUCAAACAGG